UACGGAAUGUGCAAACGUUAUUCGGAAUCACUGGGCUUAAAGAGCUCGUAGGCGGUCUGUCGCGUCGGCUGUGAAAUCCCGAGGCUCAACCUCGGGUCUGCAGUCGAUACGGGCAAACUAGAGUAUUGCAGGGGAGACUGGAAUUCCUGGUGUAGCGGUGAAAUGCGCAGAUAUCAGGAGGAACACCGGUGGCGAAGGCGGGUCUCUGGGCAGUUCCUGACACUGAGACACGAAGGCCAGGGGAGCAAACGGG
rnacentral:rRNA from 1 species